GUUCCGGUGACUACAAAUGCCAAGCCAGCUCAACAGUCGGGGCUGCUGGUGUUGUCAGCCGCAUGCCUCGUACAUGUGUGUGUGGAUACUAGAGUAUCGUAUCUUCUCGUUGACGGCGUCCUCCGCCUCCCUGGCCACGCCCCCGUCCUUGACCUCUAACGCCAGCCGGGCCGUCGCAGCCUGCAGACGCUUCCUGAGCGCCUGUGGGAGGUAAAUCUCCACCUGCUGCAGCUGGUUCCUGGCGGCCUUCAUGUUCCUCGUCUUGUCGUUUCUCUUCAGGUAGUUGAACCUCAGGUUGCUGAAACGCUUCUUCAGCUCCUUAAAGGAGUCGCGGAGCUGGAAAAUUAAACAUCGGAAAAAUCAGUGAUGUUGACAGAAACGUGUUUUGUGAGGUCACAUUGACCUUUGACCCCCAAAAUCUAAUUCUUUCCUUUUUUUUUACAUGUUGUUGUUGAGAUUAAGCAUCAAACUAUUUUAUUAUGAGUUUCUAUUAUUGUUUGCA